rnacentral:rRNA from 1 species
GAUGAACGCUGGCGGCGUGCUUAACACAUGCAAGUCGAACGGAAAGGCCCAAACUUGCUUGGGUACUCGAGUGGCGAACGGGUGAGUAACACGUGGGUGAUCUGCCCUGCACUUCGGGAUAAGCCUGGGAAACUGGGCCUAAUAUCGGAUAGGACAAUGGUUUGGAUGCCAUUGUGGAAAGCUUUUGCGGUGUGGGAUGAGCUCGCGGCGUAUCAGCUUGUUGGUGGGGUCAUGGCCUACCAAGGCGUCGACGGGUAGCCGGCAUGAGAGGGUGUACGGACGGAUUAGGACUGAGAGACGGGCCAGACUCCGACGGGAGGCAGCAGGGGGGAAUAUUGGACAAUGGGCGCAAGCCUGAGGCAGCGACGCCUCGUGGGUGAUGACGGCCUUCGGGUGGUAAACUCCGCUCGCUAGGGACGAAGCGCUUUUGUGACGGUACCUGGAGAAGAAGCACCGGCUAACUACGUG